AAGGCCUCGGAUAGCAUAACUGUCAGGAUGACCAAUUUUUAAACUAUAAUUAUUGAAAAAAGAUCUAAGUUGAAAAGUUGGAAGUAAGCAAAUUGUUGCGUAGAGUAGAAUCGCCUGCUGGUUGGUGGUGGUCAAGUGACCUCACCUCUGUGUCCGUCCGAGCUAGCAGGAAAUGUGAAAACAUGCCAUGUAUAUUAGAGCAGAGCGGCGGUACUGCGGGUGGCUAUCAGCACAGCAGUGAUCAAUCGUAAUUGUAACUCCGAGACCGAGCAGUCAGGCAGUCACACAUUAGAUGUUCCGGCAUGUUUUAUUUGUGGAAGUACAUAUUUGCGUGAACGGGAAUGCUCGAAAUUGCUCAGCGGUGGAUAAGCCACAGUUGAUGAUCGGCAUUCCAGUCUCAGACAGAAUUCCGUGUUUGAUUAACGAUAUACGGUCGUAUAUUUCUCAAGGUUGAAGUGAUAUUUCGCUGUUCGCGCGAUCCGGAAGCUAUCGGUUGCAGUACAAGAAUGCUUCUUUGGUGACGGAUGCAUUCACGUUUGACAAUAGCAGCUCGCAGCGGAAACAGUUCUCUUCGUCAACCUGGCACAUUACUGUGCGAUAAAGCUAGUCUGUGUCCUUCGGCGACGUCUCGAAAGGAUUUAACAGAUUAUAGGCAAUCGAGCAUCCAUCAUCAGAUCAUGUUGAUGAAUACAAGUGCGGCACCGUCCGCUCGUCGGAUGUCCGGUUAUUUUACCAGUUUUAAACCUAGUCUGUCCGCAGUAGUCGAUGUUGCGGUCUCCAGCUGCACGCAACCAGUAAUAGAGUAGUGAUCAAGGAACACCAUCCUGAUCCGCUGAAAGCAUGCCUUUAACAGUUGCGCAAGCAAUCAGAUCUUCAGCUGAUCCGUUGUGUACGCAUUAUCAACGUGAUCAAAGCAAUCACUGCGUUGUGUCAAACUUAAACAUUCAGCAUAUUAAAAAUCGGCCUUAGAAUAUGGAUUACGCAAAAAAGGACAAUAGGUCGGAACUUAGAGAGUUUUCGAUGAGGCGAUCGGUACAGACGAGGCAAGAAGUUUCAUGACGAGGAAUAGGACAACCAUGAAGAGCUGGUUAUAGAAAGCAGUGGCGGUUCCCGACUGCAGACAAUUGUAGAGUUUGUGAAUCUGAUCGUGCUGAAGUUUUCAAUGGCGGAAACAGUCGCAACCAAUCGAAGUAGAAGUCGGAAGAAAGCAAAACAGCUGUCGAAAAACGAAAAAAGGCAAAAUUAAAUCGGAGAAGAAAAGCUUGACGCGCUACAUUCGUGAUGUGGGAUGCGGCCGGAGGAAGUCGGCGAAACGAAUAUCGGACUGGAUGGUCGUCAAACUAGUAAAGCGUGAUCAGAACCAGUUGCGCACGACCCUCGGAAACGCUUGCAGUUAUGGUCAUGAGGAACGUAACCAGGCAAGACAUCCGGAACCCGGCCUGGAUAGACCGUUCACCGUCUUGGGCAACCGAUGUUUUUCACAGAGCUAUAGCAACCUAUGCACCUUUCAGCCAAUGGUUCCACCCGUGUCACCGGCGAGCCCCGUUUCGAUAUCACCCUUCGCCAGUUUCCAGCCCAAGCACUCAAAUAGAAUCUUUGUCGAAGAUGACUAAAUUUCUAAACUAUAGUUGACGAAAAAAGUUGGGUGGUAAGCAAAUUGUUUCGUAAAGAAGAAUCGUUUGCUGGUGGUGGUCAUGACCUCACCUCUGUGUCUCGUGUGUCUGAACGAAGACUGUGAUAAUAGUAGGAAUAGUGAAAAAGUGCUAUGUGUAUCAGAGCAGAGUAGCAGUACUAAAGAUGGCUAUCAGCAGUGACCGCAGUGACCAAUCGUAAUUGUAACUCCGAGACCGAGCAGUCACAUAUAAGAUGUUUAGGCCUGUUCUAUUCGUGGAAGUGUAUACUUGCGUGAACGCGAAGGUUUGAAAUCGCUCAGUGUUGGAGGAGCAAAAAGUGGUGAUCGGCGUACCAGUCAUAAUUUCGUGUUCAAUGAUAUGAUCGAUAUACGGUCGUAUAUUCCUAAAAUCGAAGUGAUAUUUCGUCGUUCGGAAGCUAUCGGUCGCAGUGCGAGAAAAUUUCUUUGGUGGCGGAUGCGUUUGCGGGAAGACCUUGAAGUUUGACAAUAGCAGUUAACAGCAGAAACAGUUCUCUUCGUCAACCUGGUAGGUUACUGGGCGAUGGAGCUGUGUCCUUCGACGUUGAUACGCUACAUUCGGGAUGUGAAAUGCGGUCGGAGGAAUUUGGUGGAUCGAAUAUCUGAUUGUAUGGACAUCCAAAAACUGGCGAAGCGCGGCCAGAACCUGCUGCACACGACCCUCGGAAACGUUUGCGGACAUUGUCAUGGGGAACGUGGUGCUAUUUUUUCAUAGGAAACCAGGCUCAGACAUCCGGAAUUUAGACUGGAUGGACAUCGGAAAACUGGCCAAGCACACGGCAUUCGGAUAAAUGGACAAAAUAUUUUAAAUACAGAACCAGAAUUGAUUU